CGCCCGACGGCCGGCCGGACGGCGUACCGGUCGGACCGGUGGUCGGCCGCCCGGACGGCGUACCGGUCGGACCGGUGGUCGGCCGG
rnacentral:tRNA from 1 species